GUUGCCAUCAGGGGCAUACACCAAAGAUGGAACAAUACAGAGACGAUUAGUGUGGCCCCUGAGCAAGGAUAACAAAAAUUUGUGAAGUGCUCCCAUAUUUU
ensembl:snRNA U6 U6 spliceosomal RNA